rnacentral:sRNA from 1 species
GUUCAGUUUCCUCCUAUCCGUUUACUUAUAUAUUUAU